CCUACGGGUGGCAGCAGUGGGGAAUAUUGGACAAUGGGGGGAACCCUGAUCCAGCCAUGCCGCGUGUGUGAAGAAGGCCCUCGGGUUGUAAAGCACUUUCAGUGAGGAAGAACGCCUGGUGGUUAAUACCCAUCAGGAAAGACAUCACUCACAGAAGAAGCACCGGCUAACUCCGUGCCAGCAGCCGCGGUAAUACGGAGGGUGCGAGCGUUAAUCGGAAUUACUGGGCGUAAAGCGCGCGUAGGUGGCUUGAUAAGCCGGUUGUGAAAGCCCCGGGCUCAACCUGGGAACGGCAUCCGGAACUGUCAAGCUAGAGUGCAGGAGAGGAAGGUAGAAUUCCCGGUGUAGCGGUGAAAUGCGUAGAGAUCGGGAGGAAUACCAGUGGCGAAGGCGGCCUUCUGGACUGACACUGACACUGAGGUGCGAAAGCGUGGGUAGCAAACAGGAUUAGAUACUCGAGUAGUC
rnacentral:rRNA from 1 species